CCUACGGGGGGCUGCAGUGGGGAAUAUUGGGCAAUGGGCGCAAGCCUGACCCAGCAACGCCGCGUGAAGGAAGAAUGCCCUCGGGUUGUAAACUUCUUUUGUCAGGGACGAAGAAAGUGACGGUACCUGACGAAUAAGCCACGGCUAACUACGUGCCAGCAGCCGCGGUAAUACGUAGGUGGCAAGCGUUAUCCGGAAUCACUGGGUGUAAAGGGAGCGUAGACGGCUGAGCAAGCCUGAAGUGAAAGGCGGGGGCCCAACCCCUGGACUGCUUUGGGAACUGUACGGCUGGAGUGCAGGAGAGGUAAGUGGAAUUCCUAGUGUAGCGGUGAAAUGCGUAGAUAUUAGGAGGAACACCAGUGGCGAGGGCGGCUUACUGGACUGUAACUGACGUUGAGGCUCGAAAGCGUGGGGAGCAAACAGGAUUAGAUACCCGGGUAGUC
rnacentral:rRNA from 1 species